AAGACAGCAUUAAGGAUCGGGGGAAGGGAACUUUACUGCUGCUGUUGUAAGAAACUGGAGAAAGGCAGACGAGAGGUGUGGGAAAUAGGCGAGGCCAGGACCCAGCAGGACCACCUCAGAGGCGGACUUGGGGACAGUCACCUCCCAGGCGGCAAGUGGAAACCGGAGUCAGAACCUGAGCCAGACUAAUUCCCUCCAGGUUAACAAUCAUGAAGUGUGAAUGAACAAAAAGUUAAACAAACAAAAAGCUAGUUGAAGGCCUGAAGAGUAACCAAAAGCAUAAACUGGAGGGUCGUCUUCCCCUAAAAGAAGAGAACUUCAAGAUGUACAAGUUUGCACCUUUUGCCUGAAGGCAGUCCUCAUUCUUCAGAAGGUUAGGGGUGGCAGAAAGCUGCAUCUUCAGUGGCUUGAGAUGUCAAGGACAGAAAUGGGGUGGGCAGAGCAGAGCAAAAGUUAAGAAAGUUAGGAGAAGAAUUCUGGAAAGAGGGGAACUGAAGAAGGAGCAAAUCUCAACCUCUGAACAGAAAUUUUGUUCAAAUCCCUAGUUGGUUUGUGCAGCAGGGGAGACGCCAGUGGGCCCAUUGAAAGGCAGCAGCCGGAAGCUGAAAACUAAUCAGAGACUUCGGCUGCUAUCCAUUACAGGAUGGUUUGAAGUUUCAGUUCAGGCGAAUGAGCUGCUUGAGGACAAAAGUUAACUAUUCUGAGGAAUGUAGCCAAAUCCGUAGUCUUUAUUAAUGUACCAUCCAUACUGUCCAGCAUGUAAUAAAAAAUCACUAGACAAGCAAAAAAAAAAAAUGACCCCAUACAGAAGUGAAAUAUAAUCAAUGGAAACUGAUUCUGAUUAGGACAUGUUACAAUUAGCAAACAAGUAUUUAAGGCAGCUAUUAUAAAUGCUUAUAAGGAUAUAUAUUCAUAAUUAGUAAUGAGGAAUCUCAGAGAAUUAGGAAUACUAAAGAACCAAGUGGAAAUUUUACAUGUGAAAAAUACUAGUACUAUAAUGAAAGUCCACUGGAUACGUUCAUGAGCAGACUGAAGACAGCAGAAGAGUUAGUGAAUUGCAAAUAAAUUAUACAAAUUAUUCAAUCUAAAACAGAAACAAGACUGAAGAAAAGAGCUUCAGAGACAUACAGGACAACCUCAAGUGAUCUAAUGUAAAUUUGCUGGAGUUCUGAGACAGGAAAGCAAGAAAUAAAUGGAAAAAAUGGCCAAAAUUUCCCCAAGUUUGAUUUUAAAAUAAAUAAAAAAAAUAGAUUUACAGAUCCAAAAGUUCAAUGAACCCCCAGCUAAAUAAGUACAAACAAACCAUACCUAGGCAUAUUUUAGUGACACUGCUGAAAUUCAAAAAUAAGACAGCCAGAGAAAGACAUUAUAUUUAUGAGAAUGAUACAAAUGACAGCUGAUGUCUCAUCAGAAACAAUGGAGGCCAAAAGACAAUAAAUGCCUGCCAAGUGCUGUAAGAAAAAAAGCUAUCAACCCAGAAUUCCCCAUCAGUGAAAUGAUCCUUCAAAGAUUAAAGUGAAAUAAAGUCAUUUUCCAUGAACUCAUUUUCAAAGCGUUUCAAUGAGCCUAAACUUGUCACUGGACUACAGUUCUCAAAGAAAUCAUUCAAGCUGAAAAGGAAAGACCUCAGAUGUCACUCAAAUCUAUAGGAGACAAUGAAGAACAUCAGAAAUGGUCAAUGUUUGGCAAAUAUAAAAGAUACAUUCUUUUUUCUCUUAAUCAUUUAAAUGACGCUUGUUUUAAGUGAAAAUGAUAGCAUCGUACUGUUGCGUUUAUUAUGUAUGUAGCUGUAAUAUAUGUGAAAAACCAAGGAAGAGAGGAGAGGGUGAAUGGAACUAUACUGUUCCAAGGUUCUGUAUUUUAUGAAGCUGUAUCAUAUUAACCCUAAGUGGAUGGUAGUAGGUCAAAGAUGUAUGCUGUAAUACCUAGAAGAACCAUUUUAAAAAUAUGGUGUAUAGUUUAUAAACCAAUAGAAAAAUUAAAACACAAAACUGUACUUGUACCCCCUAAAUCUAUAAAAAUAGGCCAGGCUUGGUGGCUCACAUCUGUAACCCCAGCACUUUGGGAGUCUGAGGAGGGCAAUUCACUUGAGGCCAGGAGUUCAAGACCAACCUGGGCAACAUGGCGAAAUCCCAUCUCUACUAAAAAUACAAAAAAAUUAGCCUGGCAUGGUGGUGCAUGCCUGUAAUCUCAGCUACUUGGGAGGCUGAGUCACAAGAAUCCCUUGAACCCAGGAGGUGGA
rnacentral:lncRNA from 1 species